AGAAGACCGUCUCCGUAUGAAGCGCCUAGGCUUUGGGCCUCCAGAAUAUGAAGCAAAGGAUCCGUCCUGUGUAGUAGCCUGCUUCCGGUGUUUCGUGAUAGUCAUGCCGCCCUGAGCUGAGCAGCUUUCCACUGCCGUGCCCUCUGCCACCAUACCAUGGAGUCGGCCAACCAUGGACUGAGACUCUGAAACUCUGAGCCCAAAUCAACUUUCCUCCUCUAUGUUGUUCUUGCUGGUCACGGUGAUGAAAAUCCAACUAACACAGCUAUGGGUACAUCUAAGCAGAUUAUAAUAUUAAAACAGCAUUUUAAAAGAAUAGCUGUGCUUCUGUGUGCCAAGCUGUAACCUAGUCAACGCUAAAUCCUCCCGGAGAAGAAUGGAGAUUCAGCUGUGGGUCUGGCUGCCUCCCAGGUGACACUCCUCAGGACAGCCGGUAGGCCUGGGCUUGGGGCCAGAUUCCACACUCUGCUAGCCGUUGUGACCUUGGACAGGAGGCUGCUUUUCCCACCAGACCCCCAGCCAAGACGGAGCAAGAGGAAAAACAGACCCACAGAGGAAGGAGGACGGGAGCCGAGAGCAGGGACAAGGGGCGGAGGGCUUCUGGGCCAGGCGGGGAGGAGGGUGCUUAUUUAUGGGGCGCCUGCUCCCAGGGUCGAUUGGACCACGACAUCCACCAACUGCAAAGAAACAUCUUGUGUUAGGGGCUGGGGCUGGGGCUCAGCGACAGAGCACUCGUGUAGCACGUGCGAGGCCCUGGGUUCGAUCCUCAGCACCACAUAAAAAUAAAUAAAUAAAAUAAAGGUAUUGUGCCCACCUACAACUAAAAAAAAUAUUUAAAAAAAAGGAGCCUCUUGUGCUAGUCUGCCUGGCCCCUGGGGAGGGCACCACUGUCAGGCCUCCCUGGAGGUGUGUUCGGCUCCCCCCAACCUGCGGAGGUGACCUGUGGACAUGUACCUCAGCUUCCUUGAGGGUGACGUGUGCAGGAACAAAGCCAAUACCUGUGCCGCUUGAGUGCUGCUCUUGUAGUCUGGAAGCAGCGUUUUCCAGGGCAGCGUCUGCAUGGUGCAAGUUGCAGGCGAGGGAGUCAGUUUGCUUUGGGAUCAAUAGGUGUGGCCUCCACGGGCAGGGAACUCAGGGCUUCCUUUUGAAUUCCAGAGGACACAGGACAGCUCCAUCUCUAAAGGCCCAGCCCAAUGGAACAUGGCAGCUGGGCAGGGGUUUUGCUUCUAGGCUGACUGUUUUUGCUCCAGGAAUAAUAAAGACCUUCUCGAUGCGAAA